AGCGUCGAGUCAGAAGAGAGCUAAAAUGGCGGAGGUUGGGAGUCCCUGCUUUUACUCUGUUUGCAAACUCUUGUUUCAUUGUUUAAGCGAUUAAAUCUCUCGAGUAGACGCUGUCUCUUUAGAUGCGAGGGCAAAAUAGCACUUUAUGGACUUACACAGAGGACAUCAUGUUUAAUACGGUUCCGGAAAAAUCCAGUCAGAAGUUGUUCACGGAGUUUUCACAAUAACUGCUUCUCAUGAACCAAAGCUGGAUUUGCGCGAGGUCUCCUCUUGAAAGUUGGAUUACUGUGCACUUCUGGAUCACAGGCUAUUCGCAGCUGUACACAUCCUUCUACACUGUAUGCAAGCAUGCAACAUCAUAACACACAGUACAAGGAGUCAGACUGGCAUAUGAGGAGCAAAGGAACCCAGGCAGUAGCAUCGUUUCACAAUGUUUCCAUCACCAUCAUCAGUGGAUGCCUUUGCCGUCCGUAGCCUGAGAUUUCAGAUUUGCAGCAAAAAUUUUUUGAUUUUCUCAUUUAUUGGAAUGCUGUGCAGGUAUUUGUACCUUGCAGCCAUCCAUUACAAUGUCACCAAGCCGUAACAAAAGCAGGAGGGAAAGUACAAGGCUAUGUUCCCAAAACACACAAGUGACAUACCUUAUGUGGAGGAUGUGAUCAGGCUUGUGUUUGAUGAGGUAUUUGAAGAUAAGCUGAAGGAAACCCCGAUUCCAAUGGACCUGGCAUCACAGUUUGAGAGACCUUCAAAGGAGGACGUGAUUGCAUGCCAUCUUCAGUGCA